UUUGAAUGAAGUUGUCCCAAUUUGAAACCCUUGGACACCAAGCUAUUGAGACAUGGUAAUAUUCUUGGAACAUGUCUACACCCAUUUACAUUCAUUACAAUUUUACUCCGGAUCUGCAUAUCCGUGCAGUGCAAGCAGUCAAAACUUCUGGAUCCAAUUCAAUUCUGGGUCUAUGUAUUAAAAUAUUUAAAUUAGAAGGUCAACUAAAUGCAAGCAGAGAACGUGCAGUGCAAUCAACACACUGCAUCCAUUUGUUUUUUAAAGUAAAGAUUUGACAGUGAUCCCAUCCAUACUAGCAUCUCUCUCUUCUUUUUUUUUUCUCAUAGCUUCAAACUGUAUGAAACCACACCCUGAAUCCUUCAUGUCUUCUUUGGAAGACCAUCACUGCUCAUAGCUCGCCCAAUAACACAGCCAGCAUUUUUACAAUCAAGACAUCUUAAGAUUGGUUUAGGCAUCUACCCAAUGGCCAUGGAGAAAAGAAGAGAUCAUUUCUCUACUCCACACUAAUCAAUCAUGAACAUCAUCUCUAACCCAGAUCAUAUAAGAGCACAAUUAUGUUACCAUAAUAUCUGAAUCAAGGAAGAUCUUUAUUGUUCCAUGGCAUUUCAAAUUGAGAAACAGAAUUCGAAGGACUAACUUCAAGCUAGAGUUACAUUUUGGGUAUAAAUGUUUCUCCUUCCAAUGAAAUAAAAAAGAGAGGAAAAAAAAAUAGAAUGUAACAAAGAACAAAAAACUUGGGGUUCUAUCCGUCUGAUCACCAUUCCCAAACUAACAUGGUCUGUGUUGUAUUUCAUUUAUCAUGGGAAAAAAAAGUAAAGCAAGGAGGAGCAGGAGACACAGAUUUUCACUGAGGCUAGCAGGAUGAACUACUCCCAAGGCUCCCCCUUUGGGAGGAACCAUCAACUACAAAACAAUUCAGUAAGAGGCUUAGCUUGGUUCCGGUGGCACUAGUUUCAAACCACGCAUCCACUCGCAGAAGCUAGGAUCAUCAAAGUGAAGAAAACUGCUUUUCAGCUUAACCCGCUGGUCUGCUGUCAAAGUUCGAAGUUGAGGGAAUCUUGCCUCCUGCACUCAAGUUUUAAAUUUGCAGUUGUCUUAGAGCUAACUCACAGUAUGACACUACUUUUAACUCGAUCAAUAAAAAAUUAAGCAUCACAGAUAAUGUAGUCAUCAAUGCAGAGAUCAAUUGCAUGAGAUCACAGUAAAAUUAUUAUUAAAAAAAACCGUUAUACUCUUAUAUUUUCCCAAUUUACCUGCUCGUAAGGAGGAUCUUUGUGUGCUGGUAUUAGGCGAGAAACAAAGUAUCGAGCCUGAGAACUUCCCUCCUGUCAAAGACCCAGACCCAUUAAGGGAUUUCUUUCUUUGUGGUUAAGUGGAACAUAUAAAGCAAAUAACACAAACAAAUAAAGAAUGUGAAAGGAAAAAAUGACAAACUUUGAAUGCAAGGAUCCGAGGAGCCGGAAACCGGGAUUCAGUGAGCUCUUCUGCCAAUGUUCUGCAAGCUGCUAAGGCUGAAGCACUUUUUCCUUCAUCAGCGGCAAGUUCAGCACCCUGAAUGCCACCAUUUGAUGGAAAUAUGUUUAACACACACAGGCAACAAACACAAAACAAAGGAGACAGAAAAAAAAAAAAAAAGAGGAAAAAAAAAGGAGAAUAUAAAAGGAGAGACUGCAAUUCUAGCUGGGAAAUGCUUGACCAACAAACACAAACAAAAGGAAGUGGAUGUCAAAGGAAGCAACUCAGCACAAGAAAUACAUGGCCUCACAUCCAUAGAGGGAUCUGACUGUGAUAGCAAGACCUAAAAUCUUACAGGUAACAGAAGCUGAAACACAUAAUUUUCUCUUUAUGCUUGAGAAUGUCUUAAACAUGAUGCUGGGAUGUGUGAGCAUGCAUCCACAUGUCCUUUGUUACACAUUAUCCGUUUCAUUUCUACAAUGAGAAGGAAAAAGGACAGUUUUAUCUAGGUUAAAAAUUAUUUCAUUAGUACAACUGCAACCAUCUUCUUUUGAGGGAUAAAACAUCUAUUAAAAAUCCAUCCCGAUCUUGCUCAUUAAUACCAAGAUAGUUUCUUAAUCCUCUUUUAAGAAUAUAAACUGUUAAAACUUGGUCAUAUGUAGGCUUUAUGAAAUUAUAUGUCUGUGUGAUGGUUUUACAUUCAGAAUCUAACACAAGUGGUUCAGUAAUAAUAAAAUAAAAACAUAUUUGCU
rnacentral:lncRNA from 1 species